CAUAUCCACCCUAUCAACCUUCCCGUAUCUUUUGAAAAGCCUUUCCAGCUCAGGCUGUCUGGUUUCAAACUCAAAGUUACCACAGAAAAUUGGCCUCAUCCUCCCCGACAUCUUCUGUUCAGGAAGGAUGAGGCCAAUUUUCUGUGGUAACUUUGAGUUUGAAACCAGACAGCCUGAGCUGGAAAGGCUUUUCAAAAGAUACGGGAAGGUUGAUAGGGUGGAUAUG
rnacentral:misc_RNA from 1 species